rnacentral:rRNA from 1 species
CACGCCGUAAACGAUGUCAACUAGCCGUUGGGAGCCUUGAGCUCUUAGUGGCGCAGCUAACGCAUUAAGUUGACCGCCUGGGGAGUACGGCCGCAAGGUUAAAACUCAAAUGAAUUGACGGGGGCCCGCACAAGCGGUGGAGCAUGUGGUUUAAUUCGAAGCAACGCGAAGAACCUUACCAGGUCUUGACAUCUUUUGAUCACCUGAGAGAUCAGGUUUCCCCUUCGGGGGCAAAAUGACAGGUGG